rnacentral:ribozyme from 1 species
GUGGAGAAAAUGAUCCAGAGGAAGAAGGAAAAAAAGAAGACAGUAGACAAAACCGAGCCACAUUUUUUCUUUCUGUAGCGUUCAUUUCUCAUUUUCUUCUGCUGUUUUUCCCCAUUGUUAAAUUUAACUACACCACGGUUGAUGGGUUGAAGGAUAUUGAUUCUAAAGAGUACACCAUGUACGAGUUCAUGUUGGAAAUUGUAAAUGUUUC